rnacentral:lncRNA from 1 species
ACCCUAUUUAAUUACUUAAACAUCUAUGGAAACGACUUGAAUAUUUUCGCCAUGAUUGUUGGGUAUAGUGUUUGGAUUCUGGGCCCUGCUAAUUAUCCUCUUUGCCAAUAUAUUAUACAAAAAGGCACUCAAAUACCCAAGCAGCAAGCCCAGAACAAUAGUGCCGAACGCCAUAGCCGCGAUAUAUCCACCAAUAGGAGACUCUUCUUUUGUCAUCACUGUUUUCAGUAAAAAAAAAAAUAGUUAGAAACAAAAACUAGAAAAUGGAAAAGUAUAAAAUGAAUCGAUGAUACUCCAACGAUUCAGGUCAACACCACUGUAUCAAUCCAAGUAGGUUUUUUUUUAACUAUAAUGUUAUUUCGUUUUUCUUGUUAGUGUGAACAGUAAACAAAUCAAGCAUAUCAUGGCAUGGCAGGUAUUAGUGCAGCAAACAAUAUUAAUUAAUAACAAAACAAAAUAAAUCAAAGAAAGUAAAGUAAAAUGAAGAACUUAGGAUGGAUUGAAACAAAAAAAGUAUAUUGAAAGAAUGAGUGUACCGAGAUGCUUUUUUAUUAUCCUUUCUCUGCCGAAUCUCC